GAUUCAAAGAAUGUCGGCAACUAAUUAGGCUUCGCAAGCUAAGUUCUUUACCAAUUCAGACCCAAAAGAUCAGAAAACAUAACCUUACAUAUAUUGUACAUCACAUAAAGCAGAGCAAGGGCAUGCAAACAACGAUUUAAUCCUUCAGCAGCCCUUUAUUCAGUCAAUUUCACGAAUCUCAAGAAAAUGCAUAAUAAAUAACUUGUCUCAAUAAUUGAUUCUUUUCUUUUCCAAAUAUCAUACUGACACUUGUUUUUAAUAACAACAUAAGACUACAUGCCUAAAAGGAUAAUAAUGUCAUCCCAAGUAUGCAACUUCAAAAUUGAACAGACAACAUUGCAAUCUUCAGUUGUAGCAACCCCAAAACACUAAAAUAGAUACUAACACAAUCAAUCAUCAUCAUCAUGUAAAACUAAAAAUGAAAUAUGAACUGCAUCACCAUAAUAAAGAUGGUAAAAAUACACCCAAGUUUAGGACUACUAUAAGAAAACAGCACAUUACUGCAUCUCCAUAAUAAAGAUGGUAAAAAUACACCCAAGUUUAGGACAUUACUAUAAGAAAACAGCACAUUACGAUAAUGACUAACCUCAAUGAACAGAAAAGAGUACAAUUCAAAACCUACACCUACUAUUAACAGGGAAAAGGGCAGAUAAAAAUUAGAAUUCUGAGGCCCAGCCCAGACAUUGCCUCUUUUUAGGUAUUGCCAACUGCGAUACCAUGUGCUGUGCACAUACGGCGCCAACCAUGCCCCGACAACAGUAAAACAGUGCAUAUGGGAGCAGCAUUAACCAGGUUUUAGUAUAUAAUUAUUCUCAGAAAUUCCAUUUUGACCACUAUCUUUCAUAAUUCAUUUGAAACAAUGUCUUUCUUUUACGUUUCAGUACUAUCGGCCCACCUUCAAUGAUUGCCCAGCAAUGCUACCUUUAGUCACACAAUAGGUGGCUUAUACCAUAUAUAUGGAGUUGCACGUAUGGCCCGAGGAAGCGCACAAACCAAGAGGGGCUAUGGCUCUAACACAAUGACUUACUAGAGUAAAUUGACUUAUUUAGUAUGUUUGGAUUUGAUUGAUCUCUUAGAGAUAAGAUUAAUUGCUUGAUCUGUUGAUCCUUAAGUUGGUUAUUUCCCAAUAUAAUGUGUAAGCCUGCUAUGUAAUCCUUUGCAGUAUAUCUCAACAAAGAAAGAAAGAAAACCAACCAUCUGCAUGUCUCUCCUUGCAUGGACCCAAGGUCUAGGGCUCCAUGGCUAUAAGCCAUAAUCUCCCAUCAGAGAACACUACGAUCUUCUAACGCACUAUCCACGCCACAUACAAGUUUGGUAUCAGAGCCAGCAGUCCACAACAACAGGGACGAAGAACCCGUCGUCGACUUCUACAACAUCCCGCUUAGUGGAUCCAAAUAGUUGGGUACGUUGAGUCCCAUCAUAUGGGAGUUCAACUAGCGCACUACAUAGUUUCAAAAAAAAAAAAAAAAACACUAGCUCACCAAAUCAUUACAAUGCAGCGACCACCAGUUGGUGUGGCAUGGUAUGACUCCUCGCUUCCGCUCGCCCACCUUCACAUGGCUUAAGUACAGGACCUAAAUUGAGCUAACGUACGGUAGCCUGUUGGAUGAGUCAACAAACUGCUGCCACAAGAUUCUCACGAUGCUCCAUUUGUUGGCCACAAGUUGAUACGUGCAAGAAGUCAACAUUCUCCACCCCCGUAUUGCUUGUUAAAAAGCAAGAUGUGUAAGAGUCAAUAGGCAUGGAUUACCGCGCACUUGACGAGAAGAUAGUCAAAGAAAGUUCCCGGUUCAUGUGGUUGAGGAACUGCUUGAUGAGCUGAAAGACUGCCAAAUUCUUCAGCAAUCUAGGCUUGACCAAGUCUGCCUGAAUCCACCUGUGUCGAGAAGACAUCGUUACACCAAGGGCUGCUUAGAGUUCUUGGUUAUGUCGUUCAGCCUGACAAAUACACCUGCUACCUUUCAAGCAACGGCGAAAUGACAGUUUGAUGUAUGCUUCUUGGGCAGACCACCUAAGCCAUGCACGAGUUCUAUUUUGGCUAAUUCGGUCGCACCUAUUAUUCCUCGCCAAUCACUAUGCUUCCAAGUUCCAACUUGAUCAGCGUCUCCACCAUAAACAAUUUCCCAUGAUCAAUAGGCAAGCAAGUCUUUUAUGUUCAAUUUUUUUAAGUGAAUAAAAAUCUGGGGCACUCGAACGUCGUGGCCGAUCCCCUGUGAUUGUGAUGUCGAGCGGAGGGUUCUAUUCAUUAUAUCUACCCCUUGAGUAAACACCCUUGAGGAGCAUAGACAGGGGCAUCGACCUGGCCACGUAGAUUGCACGCAUCAUGGUGGGCGAGCUAACAAUGCCAUGGGCAUUCAUUGAUGGCCAUGCGCACAUACAUGCAUGUAGACUCCACUUCUUGCCCAUGUUGCUCACCACGACUCACGGCACGGCCACAAAUGUAUCCAAAAGAUCAUCCACAGCCUACAUCAUGACUUCCAGAUCCUCGAGGACCACAUUGUUGUCGAGGAAUUUGUGCGGGCAUGCACAAUUUCGUAACGCAACGAGACCUACAAAAUGAAUAUUGCCAGCCUGCGACGCUUCUUGGAGGCUCCCUUGAGCACGUGGGCAGGCAUCUCCAUACACUUCGUCGAGGGCCUCCCCAUGGUUGGUGGCAAGUCCCAUCAUCUUGAAGAAGUGGAUUGCUUCUCCAAGUACGGGCACCAUCGCUUGGCACAUACAUAUCCGGCAAUUACCGUGGUACACGCUUUCUUUGUUGAUAUUGUGCGCCUUCAGGAAAUCUCUGCAUUCACCAUAAUCCCAUAUUCACAUCAAACUUCCGAAAGGACAUGUUCGAUGUGCAACACUUAGCUCGAUAUGAGCUCAACUUUGUAUCCCAAUUAGAUGUCCUUUUCAUCCCUCAUUAGAUGACCACUCUAAGGUGGUUAACAAAACCACUGCCACGUACUUGCACAGUAUGACUCGUGAUCGUCCUUGACAUAGAUGUGUUGGCUGCCUUGAGUUUUGCUACGAUAUAUUCCUCCACUCGGCAUUAAAGAAGACGCCACACUGAAGAUCAUCUAUGGACAGCACCCGCAGGUCAUAUGCUGCUAUGGGUCGUGCAUGGCUUAGGUGGUCUGCCCCAGAAGCACGGUACAUCACACAGUCGUUUAUCUCCAACGUUCAUGCACAUCUACACAUGAAGCAGUACUAAGAUGACAAGCGUCAUGAUGCGACAUGAAGGUUAAAGUGGAUGACUAGGUGUGGCUUCCCCUUCAUAUUUCCACCAUCAAGAAGUUGCCUUCCAGGGCGACCCUCUCGCAUCAGCACUGAAAUUAAUAAGGUGGCUUACAACCUGGAAAUACCACUGAUGCUCGUAUUUACAAAUGUUUUCAAUGUUGACUUGAUCAAGCUAUACGAGGGACCACCUCUAGCAGUAGUAGGCAAUACCCUUCAUGUAAUGGUGGUUCCAACACCAUCGCACAUCCUUUGUGCUAGCCGUGCUUGAGAUCCAAACAGUUUGUCGUUAAUCCAUAGUGGUUAGUAACUAGUAAGUAGGUCGUUAGACACAACUAGGCCAAGUAAUUUCGCCCUCCCAGGCCCAGCUGAAGCCCAACUUAAGCCUCAAACUUGCAACUAAAAUUGGUCGAAUAAACAACAAUCCUAGCUGCAGCCUGGGGAUUGGGACAGUAGCCCGUUGGCCACAGCCCACAUCACAAAAACAACGCCACAAGGAUAGCUGCAGCCUGCAGAUCAACAUAAGCAGAUCGUUCCCUGCGCAUGUGCUCAUCUUGUCGCCUCCUCGUCUGGCUAUCAGCGCUCAAUUGCUCUACAGACUCGCUUUAUCAAGACAAAUAACUUGAAUGUUCUAUCGAUCUUCUAGCCGAUAUUGUGACAAUGACAACAUGGAACAAACAACUGUCAACAAAGGCUUGCAAUAUAAUCACUUCUCUUUAGGUGCCGUCAAAGCACUCCUCGACAAGAGCCAUGCUGAAGUAUGUACAGAGUUGCCCCCAAGAGCCAAAGGAAUACUAAUGUCUGUUGAUCUCUAACGCAACCUGAACUCGACAUCUUUGAUUUACCAAAUAAGUCUUAACAACCGUUGUAGUCUGAGGACAGGUUGUCUACGGGUACGGAGAAGCUAUUGCACGCACACGGAGACCCGAUUAGGCCACAGUGGUAGCACACCAGAGUAUAUGGUGGCAACAUUAAUUCACAAUUUAGAUAUUAUGAUAAUUGGUUUCAUAUUACAUAUUUCCUUUCGGUUCAUUGUUAUCAUACAUAUUUCCUUUUAUGAAGUUUGAUAUUUCGCAUUCUAGCACCCCAUAUAAGAGAAGAUGCUGAUAAUCCUAAAGCAAGAAUCUAUCACUGCAGUGAGGCUACGGCAAGGCACUGUCACGCCACUUGGCUCAAGGGACACCAUGAUUAGGCCUAAGGGUACUCGCAAAGCAAAGGCAAUACAACAAGAGGUCAAUCUAAUCGUUGUUCUCUCUUUACAACCAAGGAUAGUGUGCUACCUAAUUCAUGGACGAUAUGUGUGCAUAGAUACAAGGAAGAACAAGGGGCACAAGUUGCAGAUCCCAGUUGAAAACACUGACCGACAGACCAAAUCUAUGUCAGGACCACUGGAGCAGCACUCAUCGCCAAGAAAGCUCAACAGCUCCAAUCGGUACCCAUACCUCCGACACGAUGAUGGUCGGUACUACUGAGUACUGACUGGAGCCCGAGAAGACCGAAGCCUCCGUUCCCCUUCAGUACCUCCAGCAUGAUGAUGGCCUAUGGAUAUGGAUCACCGGCUGGGGGUCACUUCUUCCUAAAAUUGUUGACUUCAACAGUAUGUGGUUACUUUAGCGUUUCAACAUUGCCGUGAUCUUUCAAUAAAAAGGAAAUAUUGUUUACACUGCAUUUAGCACUCUUACACAUUCUGGAGCGUCAUCCAAGAAGUAGCCACUACUACAAGCUAUAUCACACAUUAGAUGCAUGGAGGAUAUGUGACUAUGUUGAAAGACCGCACUAUGACAACAUUCUUCAUUUGGUGGUUGCUGAUGGCACACAUGUGUGUAACAAUUUGUUGGAACUACAAGCGCAGAGUGAUGUAGCAAGCUAAUUUUUCCCAUAAAGAUGAUUCGAGGGUUUA